UUGACUGUGCUGGUUAUUGCCGUCAGGAAGGGACGUAAGGCCUGAAGUACAUCGUAAUAAACAGUAACAAAGUGAAGUGGAAAGUCUCAAAUAUUUAUUUCACGGAAGAAGUUAGUGUAGAAGAAAACAAUGAUCCAGAUUUUACUGGAGCCAGAGGUCAACAAGAUCCCAAAUUCCAUCAAGGAACACAGAGUGAAUUAGCUGGUCUUGGAUUAGUGAGGAGGUAUAUCAUACAAGGUUCCUUUGGUCAUUGGUAUCAGCAAGUUACAACCACUACAGGUCGAGUUUCCUUUAUCCGAAAACCUGAAAACUGGACACAUCCAACAACUGGACACAAAACCGCACUUUUUUUGAAUGUCAUCGACCUUUAGCACAAGAAUUCUGUGACUCAAGUUGACCGCACCCUGUAUUUAUUAUCCAGUGGUACAUCUUACUUUUCUAACCAUUUUAUUUACUUUAGACCAUAACUGCCAGGCUUCAGCUGUUGUAAUGUAAGUAGGCCUAGGCCUAUAUGCGAUAUCCAAAAACUGAAGUUAUCUGAAAUUCAAAACACAAUUGGCCCUGAGGGUUUCGGAUGAAGAAUACUCAACUUGAUAGUAAGUGUGAGAGAUUUGGUGGUGUGCAAUAACUAUAAUGGACAAAUGGCAUCCAAUAACAAAAUAACUGAGCAACUAGUUAUAUGCAUUUGAGAGACAGUAGGCACAAAAUAGCUGUGAGAAACUGGUGACAUACAAUAACGUCAUGAGGUUCAUCUAGCUCUGGAAACUUGAUCUCGCAUGUCCAAGACGUGUUGCUUUUUAAAGUUAAUAAUAUUACUUUUAAGAGGAUUAUUUGCUGGGUACAUACGAAAAGUCUAGACUGGGUCUCUCUGAGAGUAACAGAGCCUGGCACUUUACUGGAUUUGUAAUAUGAUUUUGCCUGCACUCAGACUGCCUGAUGUUCAAGUAUGUAAUAAAACAUUGGAGGAGUG